UACGUAGGGUGCAAGCGUUGUCCGGAAUUAUUGGGCGUAAAGAGCUCGUAGGCGGUUUGUCGCGUCUGCUGUGAAAACUGGAGGCUCAACCUCCAGCCUGCAGUGGGUACGGGCAGACUAGAGUGCGGUAGGGGAGAUUGGAAUUCCUGGUGUAGCGGUGGAAUGCGCAGAUGUCAGGAGGAACACCGAUGGCGAAGGCAGAUCUCUGGGCCGUAACUGACGCUGAGGAGCGAAAGCAUGGGGAGCGAACAGG
rnacentral:rRNA from 1 species